AUACCCAGUAGAGGAGAUACCAUGGUCAGGAAGGAAGUUUUUCCAGAGAGCGUUUUAUCCACUGGACUACAAAUGACUUUCUCCUGCAUUUCUCUUAAGUGUAGAAAAUUUGACCUAGUAAUUUAUGGUCGUGGAGAACUGUGUUCAUAUUCUCCUU
rnacentral:snRNA from 1 species